AGAAUUUUUGCCUGGAAUCUCUGGAGGUGUUAGAAAUAGAGAAAAUGAUAAAAAAGCUUCUGAAGAUGAUUAGAAGAGGAAUUUGGGCUAAGUAUUGAUUAUAUGACUUAGUUGUUAAGGGUUUUGGCAGUGUAUUUAGACAGAUGAGGAUUUCAAUCCCAGAUCUGACAUUCAUUUUCUGACUUUUAAUAAAUUACUUUAUCUCUCCAGGCUCAAGUUUUCUUACCUAUAAAUUGAAGACAGUAAAUCAUCUAUCUUUCAAAUUUGGUAUAUGGACUAAAAGAGCAACACAUAUACAGUGCUCCAUGUGACUAUUUAGUUUUUAUCCACUGCUUCAUUCCAUUGGCAAAGCCAGAUCAGUUGCUUGGACACAGGAGUUCUUCCGAUUUGUUAGUGCCCAAACUGCACCAGUGAGGAUCGAAUUCAGGACUUUGCACUUGAAAAGGAGGGGUGGCACCACUGAGCUAAAUCCCUGGCCCAGGUCCUAUUGAAUAUUAACCUCAAGAAAUUUUAUUUUCCAACAUGCUAAGUUUUUUUUUCUUUAGUUUAUAU
ensembl:lncRNA